AGUACCUUCUGGCAACAUGCACAGAAUUAACUCAGUUACAGCAUCUAAAGCCAGGACAAAGUGUUACUAACCCGUGAAAAUUACAUGUUUCCCAAGAUUCAGCUUUGGAGAUUGAGAACAACUGAUCUAUGAGAUGUGUGCAGAAGACAGUCAAAGAGGGUUUUGGGGACAGGCAAUGAGCCCCUUUGCAGAUUCCAGGCUAAUAGUUAUCCCUCCCUGCAGACUUGAACAAGACAACUAAAUACCAAGGGUUACUCCAGCUCCCAGUCUGAGGUGCCUAACUCCCAAGAACAAGCACAGACACAAAGACACGGUGGCUUUGCAUUCCCAGGAGACAGUCUCACAAUAUUUUUGCCAGGCAUUUCAGCACAUCAUUCUGUAUUAGCCCUCACUCUGCAAUAUUGCUUGCAUGCAGUCCCUAUCUAGUACACUGUGCAUUCCAGUGUACAACAUUCAGCAGGUAGAUGAAGUUCAUCCAAUAUAUUAGUAAAACGUUUUCAGAUAAUGAUGUCAGAGACCUCUGUAUGGGAUUGUGCCACUGCACAUUAGCCAUUACACAGUUUGCUACUGAGUGAGAAGAAACUACAUUCUCAAAUCACAGCCCAUCAGUUACCAUAGGUAUCUGUCACUCACCUGCAAUGAUCCAUCCUUUAUCCUAGAGCAACGAAGCCUGGGAAUGUGUAAAUGUGUAAAUAUGUAAAUAUGAGGAUGCUUGGCUGAGAAUUUAAUG